rnacentral:rRNA from 1 species
GUAGGUGGCAAGCGUUGUCCGGAAUUAUUGGGGCGUAAAGCGCGCGCAGGCGGUUCUUUAAGUCUGAUGUGAAAGCCCACGGGCUCAACCGUGGAGGGUCAUUGGAAACUGGAGAGCUUGAGUACAGAAGAGGAAAGCGGAAUUCCACGUGUAGCGGUGAAAUGCGUAGAGAUGUGGAGGAACACCAGUGGCGAAGGCGGCUUUCUGGUCUGUAACUGACGCUGAGGCGCGAAAGCGUGGGGAGCAAACAGGAUUAGAUACCCUGGUAGUCCACGCCGUAAACGAUGAGUGCUAAGUGUUAGGGGGUUUCCGCCCCUUAGUGCUGCAGCUAACGCAUUAAGCACUCCGCCUGGGGAGUACGGCCGCAAGGCUG